GCAUGUGUGGGCCAACUGCCUGCAAAAUCUGCCACCCAACUGAUUGCCAGGGUUGAAUGAACUCAUCUGGCUGGCUAGGCAGGUGACUGCUUCCUUCCUCACUCGUCCAUGUGCAUCCCUCCCAAAAUUGCAUAUCCAUUUGGUUGGAGGGGACAACCUUUCCUGAUAGAGGGGAAAUUUUCAGAAGAACUGCACGGUGGGUUCCUUGGCCCCGUCUUUGGUUAGCACCUGAGAAGGGCCCACUGCAGGCUCUCAGGCUGACAUCACGUCUGCAUUUCAUAUGUGGUAGAGGACCUUC
rnacentral:snRNA from 1 species